GUUGAGGCAGGCGGAAUUCGUGGUGUAGCGGUGAAAUGCUUAGAUAUCACGAAGAACUCCGAUUGCGAAGGCAGCCUGCUAAGCUGCAACUGACAUUGAGGCUCGAAAGUGUGGGUAUCAAACAGGAUUAGAUACCCUGGUAGUCCACACGGUAAACGAUGAAUACUCGCUGUUUGCGAUAUACUGCAAGCGGCCAAGCGAAAGCGUUAAGUAUUCCACCUGGGGAGUACGCCGGCAACGGUGAAACUCAAAGGAAUUGACGGGGGCCCGCACAAGCGGAGGAACAUGUGGUUUAAUUCGAUGAUACGCGAGGAACCUUACCCGGGCUUAAAUUGCAGAUGAAUUACGGUGAAAGCCGUAAGCCGCAAGGCAUCUGUGAAGGUGCUGCAUGGUUGUCGUCAGCUCGUGCCGUGAGGUGUCGGCUUAAGUGCCAUAACGAGCGCAACCCUUGUUGUCAGUUACUAACAGGUUCCGCUGAGGACUCUGACAAGACUGCCAUCGUAAGAUGUGAGGAAGGUGGGGAUGACGUCAAAUCAGCACGGCCCUUACGUCCGGGGCUACACACGUGUUACAAUGGGGGGUACAGAGGGCCGCUACCACGCGAGUGGAUGCCAAUCCCCAAAACCUCUCUCAGUUCGGACUGGAGUCUGCAACCCGACUCCACGAAGCUGGAUUCGCUAGUAAUCGCGCAUCAGCCACGGCGCGGUGAAUACGUUCCCGGGCCUUGUACACACCGCCCGUCAAGCCAUGGGAGCCGGGGGUACCUGAAGUGCGUAACCGCGAGGAGCGCCCUAGGGUAAAACUGGUGACUGGGGCUAAGUCGUAACAAGGUAGCCGUACCGGAAGGUGCGGCUG
rnacentral:rRNA from 1 species